GAUGAACGCUGGCGGCGUGCCUAAUACAUGCAAGUCGAGCGAACAGACGAGGAGCUUGCUCCUCUGACGUUAGUGGCGGACGGGUGAGUAACACGUGGAUAACCUACCUAUAAGACUGGGAUAACUUCGGGAAACCGGAGCUAAUACCGGAUAACAUGUUGAACCGCAUGGUUUAACAGUGAAAGACGGUCUUGCUGUCACUUAUAGAUGGAUCCGCGCCGCAUUAGCUAGUUGGUAAGGUAACGGCUUACCAAGGCAACGAUGCGUAGCCGACCUGAGAGGGUGAUCGGCCACACUGGAACUGAGACACGGUCCAGACUCCUACGGGAGGCAGCAGUAGGGAAUCUUCCGCAAUGGGCGAAAGCCUGACGGAGCAACGCCGCGUGAGUGAAGAAGGUCUUCGGAUCGUAAAACUCUGUUAUUAGGGAAGAACAAAUGUGUAAGUAACUAUGCACGUCUUGACGGUACCUAAUCAGAAAGCCACGGCUAACUACGUG
rnacentral:rRNA from 1 species